UGGUGUUUUUAAUCUGUAAAAUGGGGUGAUGAUUGUGUCUAUGUCCUGGGAUCAGUGUAAGGAUUAAAUGAGUUGAGACAGAUAAAGUGCCUAGCACAGUGCCUGGCUAAGUGCUGAAUUCAUAGUAGCUAUUUCAUCACUAUUGUUUUCAUGAUAAUGAUUACUAUUAAACCAUUGAUAAGCAGGGAACUUUGAACUUUUCAUUCUGGAACAA
rnacentral:lncRNA from 1 species